AAUUUUCUGACAGUACGAUUGUGAUACAAAUUUUUUCCAAGCAACUGUGUAAUUUGACCCUACAGAGUUUUUCCAGCACAUAUAUGGGAUUGUGAUGUCUACCUAGGCCAAUCUCAAGGUGAUGUGACUCUCCUGCCUGGGCCCUUCUCUCAGUGAUAUAACCCUCUUCUCUGGAAUGGGCCCCACACAAAGGAAGGAUAGUGACAUAUUGCAAGCCCAGGCACACAGGUGCUUAAUUGCUUUCUACUACUUGGGAGGUCCACAAUGCCAAUUGCCCUUUAGUAUUGACUCAAGCCUUUGUCAAGUAAACAUUCCUGAAUAAAUGUGAGUCUCACUGGCUGGUCAGGGCUGCAAAUGUUUACAGCACUCUGCUUGGAGUCUGCCCAGAGCACAGUUGAAAUUGUGACAUAUGUACACCAAGCAACCAAGCAAUGUAUAACACCUCAUUUGGCAAUGGAAUCGAGGGCACUUUUACAUAUCACUGAGACCAGCGCCCAGCUGAUGUGAAAUAUUGGCCUGAACCCUGCCUACAAAAGCAUUGUGGCUUUUAUCUAGCUCCAUUACAUAAGUGAUGUGACUUCCUUCUACUGCCUUGGCCCUGCACUUAUGGUGAAUCGUGACACAAAAUUGGGUAGAGCAACCAGCCUGGGCCCUGACCAGCACAGAGAUUGAGGCAUAUUGCUGAACCCAGGACCAAGAUGAAGUCACUCUCCUGCCUUGAUCCUGCACACAGGGACCCUUGUGACAUAUAUACAGGCCAAUUGCCUAGGUGAUGUUGUGCAAUAUACCUGAGACCAGAUCAAUGGCCUAAUAAUGACUCUUUUACCUAGAGCCAGGACAUGUGCAGGAUGGUAACUCUCAUCCCUGAACCUUUCCACAGGUGUUAUUGUCACAUAUACCUUUUCCAGCUCCAAAGUGAUUUAAUAAUCCAGCCUAGUUAUAGCCCACAGAUAAUAUUUGGACAUAUACCUGAGUCAAGAA
rnacentral:lncRNA from 1 species